UCGGGAAUUUUGGGCAAUGGGCGAAAGCCUGACCCAGCAACGCCGCGUGAAGGAUGAAGGCCUUAGGGUUGUAAAAUCCUUUCGUGGGGGACGAUAAUGACGGUACCCCAAGAAGAAGCUCCGGCUAACUUCGUGCCAGCAGCCGCGGUAAUACGAAGGGGGCUAGCGUUGUUCGGAUUUACUGGGCGUAAAGCGCGUGUAGGCGGGUCGUUAAGUUGGGGGUGAAAUCCCGAGGCUCAACCUCGGAACUGCCUUCAAAACUGGCGACCUGGACCCCAAGUAGAGGCAAGUGGAAUUGCGAGUGUAGAGGUGAAAUUCGUAGAUAUUCGCAGGAACACCAGUGGCGAAGGCGACUUGCUGGACUUGUGGUGACGCUGAGACGCGAAAGCGUGGGGAGCAAACAGGAUUAGAUACCCCGGUAGUCCCUGAGCGGGCUGGCAAGGCGCAU
rnacentral:rRNA from 1 species